UAGACAUGAAAUAGGCAUCUGAGUGAUGUAUGUCUGCUAUAAUGCAGAAUUCACUUUUGUCAACACUGCUUUAGAUGAGUGUAAGUCUACUCUAAAUCUAUGUAAACUAACUAAACAUAAGUUAUCUAUUUUAUUUGUCCAUUUGCAAUACUGAUAAUUUAAGGAACAUUUGUGUUGGAUAAAAAGCGAGUUACAUCAGCAACUAACUCAACAUGUAAAUGUAGUAAAUCACAGAUAAAUCACAGAGGAGACUGACUCUUGUCUGGAUGUUACAGGGACAGAUGAGACACGCGUGUGUUUAUCUGCUGCAGAGAGACUGAUGAAGCAAUGGUGCCAUCAAAGGAUUUGUGAUAGGAACAUGUCUGCAGACUGGUGUGUGCUGUGAGAAUGGAGAAGUCCACAGCAGCAUCCUGGAAAUGGUCCAGCGACACGGAUGAGACACUCCCUCACUCCACCUGCCCUUACUGUCUCAUCUGAGCUGGAUGUUGCUGUGGUCUCUUCAUCAUCAGUGACCCCAGAGCCAGCGAGAGGAUCUAGAGAAAGACCAAAAGACACUGAGGAUUUGAUUUUGGUAAAGUAUGUUCUGCGGCUUUCUGUUUAUACAACGAAGGCUGACUUUCAGAAGCUUCAAAAGCAUCAUCAUCAAAAAAUGUCAUGGAUCUUUUAUCUGAAGUGAUUAAGAGUGCUCUUAUUACAUGGACCUACAAACCCUGGAUCAACCUGGAGAAAAGAGCCUUGCUCAAGGACACACUGGUGGUUUUGAACCAGUAUCCUUCUGCUCACCAGUUCAGUGAUUUAGCCCACUACAAAAGUAAUAAAUCAAUGUACUUGUAAACUCUGUGUAAAUGCUUUACAGGUUGUGCUCAUGGAGAGCAGACACAUGAAUGUUUGGAGCAGACACAGCAGCAGCUAGUCAGAUUGUCCCGCACGUGUUCCUCUGCUCUUGUUUCAAGGUUGAGUGGUUCAGAGAGCCGUCAUCAUGGUCUUCCUUAUCCUGUUGCUCAAUGACAUCCCCAUUGAGAUAAGUGAGAUUGUGAAGCACAGCGCGGCAGCAGAAUGAGCACAGCUGUGUUGAGAUGAUAGUAGGAUGUUGGGUUCACCAUCUGUAAAUACAUGAUUGUUAGAACAAUAAGUUUGAAUGAUGCUUUGUAUCAUGUUGUUGAAUUGUACAUGUAUGCAUUUAUUGUGAUACUAACUUUUAUACAUUAUUUUAAUCAUUUAGACAUGUUUCUUGUUGUCAGUAAAUAAAAUAUAAAUACUUUA
ensembl:lncRNA